rnacentral:rRNA from 1 species
UACGUAGGGUGCGAGCGUUAAUCGGAAUUACUGGGCGUAAAGCGUGCGCAGGCGGUUUUGUAAGUCUGUCGUGAAAUCCCCGGGCUCAACCUGGGAAUUGCGAUGGAGACUGCAAGGCUAGAAUCUGGCAGAGGGGGGGUAGAAUUCCACGUGUAGCAGUGAAAUGCGUAGAGAUGUGGAGGAACACCGAUGGCGAAGGCAGCCCCCCUGGGUCAAGAUUGACGCUCAUGCACGAAAGCGUGGGGAGCAAACAGG